rnacentral:rRNA from 1 species
UGAGCAAUCUUCCCUUCUCAUCGGAAUAAGCGUUGGAAACGACGUCUAAUGCCGAAUACGACCUCCUUUCGCAUAAUCGGAGGUGGAAAGCUCCGGCGGAGAAGGAUGAGCUCGCGGCCUAUCAGCUAGUUGGUGUGGGUAAUGGCCCACCAAGGCGACGACGGGUAGCCGGCCUGAGAGGGUGACCGGCCACACUGGGACUGAGACACGGCCCAGACUCCUACGGGAGCAGCAGG